UCAGAGGAGCUACAAUAUCCAGAGGAAAAUAACAUCCGCAACCUGAAAGAGAGAGCUAAUUUUUCUGUCUAUUUUGUCUAAUUCAUUUAUCCUUUGUGUUUUAAUUAAUCCUUUCUGCAGAUACAUGGGUCACUCUUUUGAGCAAGAAUUUCCCUCAAAGAUUUUCAGAAUAGAAAAAUCUCAAUAUCAUAAACACAUAGAGGAAAAUACUGUUUGAAAUGAGCCUAACAACCGAUGACUGACUAAUAAAACAUUGAAAAUCAACUGUGAA